UACGAAAGGAGCAGGUGUUAUUCAGAUUAACUGGGCGUAAAGGGCACGUAGGUGGUUUGUUUAUGUGUAUUAUUAAAUUGUAAAGCAUAACUUUAUAACGUAUUACAGACAACAAAACUAGAGUCCGGAAGAGGCGAGUGGAAUUCCUGGUGUAGCGGUGGAAUGCGCAGAUAUCAGGAGGAACACCAAUAGCGAAGGCAGCUCGCUGGGACGGUACUGACGCUAAGGCGCGAAAGCGUGGGGAGCGAACAGG
rnacentral:rRNA from 1 species